UGAACCCUCUGGAGACCAUGAAUGGAGUGAGAGAUCCACUUCAUCCUUACAACAGACAUCAAGUGACAGGUACCUGACUGAACCCUCUGGAAACCAAGAAUGGAGUGAGAGAUCCACUUCAUCCUUACAACAGACACCAAGUGACCUGACUGAACCCUCUGGAGACCAUGAAUGGAGUGAGAGAUCCACUUCAUCCUUACAACAGACAUCAAGUGACAGGUACCUGACUGAACCCUCUGGAAACCAAGAAUGGAGUGAGAGAUCCACUUCAUCCUUACAACAGACACCAAGUGACCUGACUGAACCCUCUGGAGACCAUGAAUGGAAUGAUAGACACACUUCAUCCUUACAACAGACACCAAGUGUUCCGAUCCUGAUGAAACCUUUUGAAGAUCAAGAAAGGAGUGGAAGAUCCACUUCUUCCUUACAACAGG